AACGAACGCUGGCGGCAUGCCUAACACAUGCAAGUCGAACGAUGCCUUCGGGCAUAGUGGCGCACGUGUGCGUAACGCGCGGGAAUCUGCCUUUCGGUUCGGAAUCACUCACUGAAACUUGAGCUAAUACCGGAUAACCUCGCACGACCAAAGAUUUAUCACCGAAAGAUGAGCCCGCGUAGGAUUAGCUAGUUGGUGAGGUAAAGGCUCACCAAGGCGACGAUCCUUAGCUGGUCUGAGAGGAUGAUCAGCCACACUGGGAAUGCGACACGGCCCAGACUCCUACGGGACGGAGCAGUGGGGAAUAUUGGACAAUGGGCGAAAGCCUGAUACAGCAAUGCCGCGUGAGAGAUGAAGGCCUUAGGGUUGUAAAGCUCUUUUACACGGGAAGAUAAUGACGGUACCGGGAGAAGAAGCCCCGGCUAACUACGUG
rnacentral:rRNA from 1 species